AUUUAGCCAACCUACAUCCCCUUGUUCCUAGCGCUACAUUGGGCAGAAAACAAGCUGAUGGCUUGUGCCACUAGGCAAUCUUGAGUCAGCCUUUUAACAUGCAUCCAAUAUGAGUAGAGAAGUCAGUUUACAUGUCAAUUAAUUGGGCAGAGAACUCACACAUCUUACAUCUUCUAGUGCGCAUGAAAUGAGGGAGAGGGAGCCAAGUUAUUCUGGUCUUUACUAACCCUUGUAAUCAGCUUUCAAAACCCCACUCUUUCCCUCUCAAGCGCUGAAUGUGUAGAGUAUAGGUUGAAAACUUAUCUUGAUGAAACAGAACAAAGCCUAGCCUCACCAUCUUGCCUCCUUUCCCCCUAAAACCGUGAGCUGUGAGGAGUAAAAGACCUCAAGAAAAAUUACAUACUAUCCUCUCCAUCCUUGCCAAAACCGUGACCAUCUCCAUAGAACACCACCACCAUAGUUGCUAGUACAAUCUUUCUUACUUUUUUCCCAACUUCUCCUAGCUUGUAACCGUGAGCUCCAUGAGCAGGAAGCAAGGAUAGCUCAGCGUUUUCUUCUCCCUUCCUUGCUGGCCGAAGACUUCUUUCAAGGAGGUUCUGCGUUGUUGAGUUAUCUUCCCCAUUGCAUGUGCUUGGGGCUGAAGCUCUUGGAACGUUGGAAGGAAAAAGCUGAAUCCUUGUUCGAUUGGUAGCGUUGGUGUGUAGAGUCAAGAAACCGUGCGCGCAUAACCCUUGAGUGUGGAUUGAUUUCGCUGCUGUUUGGUAAAUAGAAUUGUGGCACUCGAGGAGGACGGAAAAGUAUAUGAUGACGUUGUUAGUUGGAUAAUUGCUGUUUACUGCUGCUGUUUGGGAUUUUUGCUGUUGUCUGCUUGUCUUAUGGAUGUUAACUGUUUGUCUGUUGGAUGACUGUAUUCUUGUAAUAUUUUGGGGAAGUUUGGAUUACUGUUGGAAGCAUGAUUUAGCUUCUGUUUUACGAUUUUUAUAGUCGGUUUGCACUUUGGAAAAAUUCUGGAAACUUUUUGCGAAAACUAUUUCUUAAAGUUUUGAA